rnacentral:rRNA from 1 species
CCUACGGGUGGCAGCAGUGGGGAAUAUUGGGCAAUGGGCGCAAGCCUGACCCAGCAACGCCGCGUGAAGGAAGAAGGCUUUCGGGUUGUAAACUUCUUUUAAGAGGGAAGAGUAGAAGACGGUACCUCUUGAAUAAGCCACGGCUAACUACGUGCCAGCAGCCGCGGUAAUACGUAGGUGGCAAGCGUUGUCCGGAUUUACUGGGUGUAAAGGGCGUGUAGCCGGGCCGGCAAGUCAGAUGUGAAAUCCCAAGGCUCAACCUUGGAACUGCAUUUGAAACUGUUGGUCUUGAGUAUCGGAGAGGCAGGCGGAAUUCCUAGUGUAGCGGUGAAAUGCGUAGAUAUUAGGAGGAAUACUCAUUGCGAAGGCGACCUGCUAGAACAUAACUGACGCUGAUGCGCGAAAGCGUGGGGAGCAAACAGGAUUAGAUACCCGGGUAGUC